rnacentral:rRNA from 1 species
UUGGUUAAGCUACAAAGGGCGCACGGUGGAUGCCUUGGCACUAGGAGCCGAUGAAGGACGCGGUAAACGGCGAUACGCCUCGGGGAGCUGUAAGCAAGCUUUGAUCCGAGGAUUUCCGAAUGGGGGAACCCACUGUCCGUAAUGGGGCAGUAUCACCACCUGAAUUCAUAGGGUGGAUGAAGG